rnacentral:rRNA from 1 species
UACAGAGGUCUCAAGCGUUGUUCGGAUUCAUUGGGCGUAAAGGGUGCGUAGGUGGCGCCGUAAGUCGGGUGUGAAAUUUCGGAGCUUAACUCCGAAACUGCAUUCGAUACUGCGGUGCUUGAGGACUGGAGAGGAGACUGGAAUUCAUGGUGUAGCAGUGAAAUGCGUAGAGAUCAUGAGGAAGACCCAGUGGCGAAGGCGGGUCUCUGGACAGUUCCUGACACUGAGGCACGAAGGCCAGGGGAGCAAACGGG